AUGUGAUGUCUUGCUGUGGGCAGUGCCAGGCCUAGUGGGCUGGCACCAGAGCAGCUUGGGGUUGGGGAAGCAACCUUCCAUGAAGACCCUGUUUCCAGGUGGAUCCCAGCCCCUUGGCCAAGCCCUGCUCCUCCGCUUGGGUCUCAGGGAUGCCAUCCACCUUCUCUUUUGCUUCUUCUAUUUUCUUGGUGAAAUAGCGGCAGGGCCGCGGGGCCGCUGGAGGCUAGGGGAGGGUUGUCUAGGACAGAGGAAGGGCGGGCAGGCUUACUGGGGGCCAAGGUCCCAUUGCAGAGGGGGCCCCUCGGUUGUGUUCAGCUGCUGGGCGCCGGGGUGGAGGAGCAGAGUGCUUUUCUUCAGGCCUGGUGUUUGCCAGGCUGGCAAGCCUCUGUGGGAAGAGGUUCCCCUUUGUUUUCUGCAGAGUGCGUGGGAGCUCCCCCUGUGGACUGAGGGUGGCCACAUCGGAGGUGGGAGUGAAGGAGCUCAGGGACACACAGGACAUCUGGAGUGUUCUCAGUGAACCCAGGUAAAUGGCCUCCUGCUUCCUCCACGGCUGUCCUGAGCUGUAAUACGAUCUCAGGUGGCAAUGCCAAGGAGCAGGAGGGGAGGGGGCAUGAAUGUCCAGGCCCUCAGGCUGUUUGUCCAAGACCCGAUCUUCCACUUGGGACCACUGUCUGAACACAGCACUCACUACCCACAACCUCAGGCUGGAGGGCGAGGUGCCAUGAGCAUCGCAGAUGCUCACAGGGCAUGUCUGCCAUGCACCAGACAGGCAGGGGUUCAGGGGCACAUAAGUCAAGAAACCCCAGUCUGCAGCAGGUCCACUGAGGCAGGAGAACAGCAAGGCAGCUCAGAAGUGACUUCCCAUUGAGACCUGGGGAUUAGGAUCCAUUCUGGUUUGUCCUUCCCCAUGAAAAUAGACAAUGGGAAAAAACCAGGGACCAAGAGGUUUGCAGGCUGAGUUUCUGUCUGUGCUGUGGGCUGCUCUGACAGGUGUGUCCUCAGAGCCUUUUAUGGGCUACGCUUGUGACUCAGGCAGCACAAGGGACUCCCCAGUUCCCUGCAUGGGAGGUCCCUCUGACGGGAAGUGGUGCCUGGUAUCCAGUUUGCUUUCGUAUCAGUUCCUUUUGCAUCCAACGACUCCAGUACCUCAAGAUGUGGCAGGAAAAGCCCUUCCUAGAAACUUUUGGUGUGUUGGGCCUUUGCUGCUCAGACCUUGUGGAGUGCCUGAGGAUCAGUGGGAGAGGGGUGGGUGCCCCUGAGCUGGAAGGCCCCCAGCCAGUGCUGAGGAAAUGUGGGUGACACAGAACAGGCAGGUAACAGGCCAGUGCCAUUCUCUGCCGGACUUCCACCUCCCCGACGACAGCAGCACUCCGUUGUGUUAGACGCCACCAGGCCUCCUUGGGACCCUGCCUUGGGGUGCUCACGUGGGAGGACUCUUGCCUCUGCUGCUGUCGAGGGGAGCCCUCCCCUCUGGGUCUGUAGGCUGCAGAACACGCCAAGGGGCACUGCAGCAUGGAGGCAGGCUGGAAGGUUGGGGAGCAGAGGCUGCAGGGAGUAGAGGGAAAAAGAUUUAAAGGAGACUGAAGUAAAAGGAAGAAACCUAAUUCAGUAGUUCUCAACAGGGGGUGAUAGCACCCCACGGGGGACACUCGCCAAUGUCUGGGUGCAUUUUUGGUUGUCACAGCUGGUGGUUGCUACAGGCAUCUGGUGGGUCGAGGCCAGGAUCUUGCUCAUCAUCUUACAAUGCCCAGGGCAGCCCUGCCACAGAGAAUGACCCAGCCCCCAAUGUCCACAGUGCCCGGGACGAGAGGGACUGAUUGGGCUCCAGGGAGUGGCUGAGGCUGGGAGGACACGGGCCUCAUUUACCUCCACUUGAGCUCUGCAGGAAAACUCCUCCUUUGACUGGGUAUUUCUGCAGUGGAAAAGCCCCAUUUUUAAUUUUCUUGAGCUGUGACUAGUGGUGCACAAUGUGGCCAGUUGGCCUUUGGGUGAGUUUGGAAAAUGGAAAGGCUCAUAUCUGGGCUCUGGGCCCUGACUUUACCUUGUCUAUGUGGAGCACUCUCAUGCUUGCAUUCCCCACCCUCUCAGCUCUCACGGCAGAAGUGGCAUCUCGCCGCCUGGGAGCUGUCCCUCAGGGGGUUGGGCCCGCAUGGGCUCCUUCCAGCCUUCCAUGGGAUCUAUGGGUGGGCAGAGCACAAAAUAGCCAGGUGAGGCUGGGCGCGGUGGCUCAUUCCUGUAAUCCCAGCACUUUGGGUGGCCGAGGAGGGCGGAUCAUGAGGUCGGGAGAUCGAGACCAUCCUGGCUAACACAGUGAAACCCUGUCCCUACUAAAAAUACAGAAAAUUAGCCGGACGUGGUGGCGGGCACCUGUAUUCCUAGCUACUUGGGAGGCUGAGGUAGGAGAAUGGCGUGAACGCGGGAGGCGGAGCUUGUAGUGAGCCGAGAUCGUGCCACUGCACUCCAGCCUGGGCAACAGAGCAAGACUCUGUCUC
rnacentral:lncRNA from 1 species